rnacentral:rRNA from 1 species
UACGAAGGGGGCUAGCGUUGCUCGGAAUCACUGGGCGUAAAGCGCACGUAGGCGGCUUGUUAAGUCAGGGGUGAAAUCCUGGAGCUCAACUCCAGAACUGCCUUUGAUACUGAGGAUCUUGAGUACGGGAGAGGUGAGUGGAACUGCGAGUGUAGAGGUGAAAUUCGUAGAUAUUCGCAAGAACACCAGUGGCGAAGGCGGCGCACUGGCACGUAACUGACGCUGGGGCACGAAAGCGUGGGGAGCAAACAGG